rnacentral:rRNA from 1 species
CGGGUGAGUAAUACAUCGGAACGUGUCUUCUAGUGGGGGAUAACUGCCCGAAAGGGCAGCUAAUACCGCAUGAGACCUGAGGGUGAAAGCGGGGGAUCGCAAGACCUCGCGCUGGAAGAGCGGCCGAUGUCCGAUUAGCUAGUUGGUGAGGUAAAGGCUCACCAAGGCGACGAUCGGUAGCUGGUCUGAGAGGAUGAACGGCCACAUUGGGACUGAGACACGGCCCAG